rnacentral:rRNA from 1 species
UACGGAGGGGGCUAGCGUUGUUCGGAAUUACUGGGCGUAAAGGGCGCGUAGGCGGCCACCGCAAGUCGGUUGUGAAAUCUCUGGGCUUAACCCAGAAAGGUCAACCGAUACUGCGGGGCUAGAGUGCAGAAGGGGCAACUGGAAUUCUCGGUGUAGCGGUGAAAUGCGUAGAUAUCGAGAGGAACACCUGCGGCGAAGGCGGGUUGCUGGGCUGACACUGACGCUGAAGCGCGAAAGCUAGGGGAGCGAACGGG